AUUGAACGCUGGCGGCAUGCUUUACACAUGCAAGUCGAACGGCAGCACGGGGGCAACCCUGGUGGCGAGUGGCGAACGGGUGAGUAACACAUCGGAACGUGUCCAGUUGUGGGGGAUAACCCAUCGAAAGGUGGGCUAAUACCGCAUGAGCUGGCGACAGGAAAGCAGGGGACCCGCAAGGGCCUUGUGCGAUUGGAGCGGCCGAUGUCCGAUUAGCUAGUUGGUGGGGAAAGGCCUACCAAGGCUUCGAUCGGUAGCUGGUCUGAGAGGAUGAUCAGCCACACUGGGACUGAGACACGGCCCAGACUCCUACGGGAGGCAGCAGUGGGGAAUUUGGACAAUGGGGGCAACCCUGAUCCAGCCAUGCCGCGUGAGUGAAGAA
rnacentral:rRNA from 1 species